UGACGUAUGCAGGUUUACAGUUCU
rnacentral:piRNA from 1 species